rnacentral:lncRNA from 1 species
GUUUUAAUAGCAAAACAUAAUUAAAAACGCCAUGUUUGGCUAUUUAAAACCCUAAACUCAGAACAUAUUUUAAACCCUAAAUUAUAAACACAAACCUAAAGCUCAAAUAUUUUCCUAUUCUAAUAUUAAAUCUUAAGUUUAAAGUUAAAUUUUAAUAUUUUCAAAAUUUAUUUUCAAUUCAAAUCUUAAAUCUAAACCUCAAACUCUAAAUCUUUUGCAUCUUUUCAAACCCUAAACCCUAUAUCCCUAUUCAAACACCGUAUCCCUAUUCAAACAUCAUAUAAACACUAAAAUUUAAUUAAAAAAUCUCAAAUCUAAUAUUUCCAAGUUUUAAUAAAACAAAAAACUAAAAAAAAUAAUUAUAAAUAUAUGAUCUUUUCAAAUUUUCUUUUUCAAACCUUAAAUAUAACCUUUGAACCCUAUCA